CCGGUGUGUGUUGCUACGGGCUGCAGUAGGUAGCUGGCGUCUGGUUUGUGGAUCUGGGCAAUUGGUGGUGUGUGCCCGACGGAUCAGACACAUAGGAUCUAGACAUGCAGCGCGGUUGGUGAGUGGCUUGGUGUGGCUGUUGUUCUAGUCGUGGGCAGCGAGAACGUGGUGUGGCUCCACUCCUGGGUGCAGUGGCCUCUCUACGGCGUGGUGGCUCCACGGAAGAUUAGCGGGCUCGGUUGUAGCAACGAGUGGCAUUUGGCCCAACGUCGGCUCCUCUGCAAGCGGCAUGUUUCUUCCCUCAAUCAUGCCCCUCUUGUUGCGUGUGUUAUUGUCACCGAAGGGCUGGUACCCUUCUCGCCAUCGUCCAUCAUUGAAGGAUUAUUCCGUCGCGAGGGGGGAGUCAU
rnacentral:lncRNA from 1 species